rnacentral:lncRNA from 1 species
GCUUGCAGAGUCUAUUUCUCUAAAAUCAAGCGACGGAUUUUCCAAAAUGCUCUCCUUUGAAGUUGAAUUAGAACCAGUAAUGCAGCUGCAGGCAGCUUCAUGGUUGUCCAUACACCAUUGAAAGGUAUCAUCCAUUUGAACACGUUCUUCUCUGUUCUUCAACCAGGGAUUGAAGCCAAACUUCUCCGAAUCACAUGCUAAAUCAAUUUGCUGAUCCUCCCAGCUUCCACUUUCCGCAGAUGACCUUGAGGCCAGAUAAUGCAGUUUAUGGAAAUGGUUCUCAGGAAAAGAUCCCCCAUUACUGUGGCUUAGCACAUAAUCUUGUCUGCCGUUCCUUGAAUGUGAGUAAGGUGU